CACAGCCUAAACUCCCGCUUCUCUCUCAUCCUGCCCAUUAGCACCUUUGCACACCUUUUCCUUGUCUUAUUCCAAAGAUUCCAUCAUGGGACAAUUAGCAUAUAGAGCCUGGGAUAUGGAGCAAUCCUGGUCUCUAUAAUACAUUGUAUAUAUCAGAGAUUAGAAUAUAAAUGCUGAAAAGUAAGGACUGGCCUGCAUGUGAAUUCAUAAGACCAGCGUAGAGAAAAGGUGAAUCUGUGAAUAUGUUUUUUUACAUGUAGAGGUCACUGAGUUGCCCAAACCAGCAUUACAUAAGUGUUUAUUUUUAAAAGGAAAGGUCAGACAGGUCAGUCCACCGGAUUAAGACUGAUUACAGACGUGAUCUUGUGGAUCCUUCUGCUGAUAAACCAAAGCUCUGGCACACACUGUGAGGUAGUUUUAUAACCAGACUGGCUGCGGUUUUGUGUGUGUGUGCAAUAAAUUGGUGACAGACGGUGGUUGACCAGAGGGGUGGUGCAGUCACCUGGGGUCAGUUGGCUUCAGCAUAAAGCGCUCCUGGUAAUUCUGUUUGGCCACAGCUUGCAGAUACCCCCUUUUGGCCUCAGCAGUCUGUAUCAUUAUGAGCGUAGAUGAUUUGAAAACAAAUUAUAUAUUUGCUGCCCUUCAUAAAAUCUUGUAUCUCUAAAAGGACAAAAAAUAUUAACCUUGCAUAAAAAGUUAAUGGGAAAAGAUUUCUAAUCAUCCAUUCAUCAUGAAUUCUACUGACAUUUUCAAAUCCUGUGAAAAAUGCUUCAAAAAUAAUUAAAAAGACAAAUAUGGAGAUACAAGGUUUUGCUCUGACAGUGACAAUAUGUAAUACAAAAUACAGUAUUUAUUUAUUUAGCACAAAAAUACCAUCACUUAUAAACCAGGCACCAAAAUAUAACAUGGUUCGCAAUUUAAAGUAUUUUGUGAACAAGAAGUUAGAGCAUAGUAGAAAACAGCCAAUUUUAUUAAAUAAAAAUUGUAAGCAAACACUGAUGGUAAUUUCUUGAUGAAAAAUAACUGAGUAAUAAUUGAAUGAAUAAGAUUUGGUCACUUCUUUUUGAAUUUGAAGUCCUCUGGAUUUUCAAUUAUAUCCACAGACAUCACCAGCUCCAUUCUUCAUCGAGAAUUCCUUCAUAUAUUGUUCAAAAUAUAUAGAGCAUUAGCGUCAUAAUAGCAGCAUUUUGCACAUUCUGAAUAUUUGAACAGAAGCUUAGAACACAGUAUGGAGAUUUACAAUACAUAAUAAAUCACUUACUCACAUUUUAUUAGUUCUUAAAUAUUCAAUUUAUUUUUGUAUUUAUGUUUUCAGUGAAUAUGUACUAAAGAGCUCCUUAGAGCUUCUUCUAAAUGACAUGUAAUGUAUAAAUCAACAAUACUGACAGGUAAUUUGAUGCAGAUUUUAGUUAGGCCUUUAAUUAAGAUUAGUCUGGUGUGAUUGUUUAAUUGUUUUCCAACAAUGCAAUGCUGUAACAUUUCCUACAAUAGGGGGAGGUGUAUCACACCAGCAGGGUUCAUUACCACCAAACCAUAUGGACUAUUUACUUCUUAAGUGACCAUACUAGGUUUAGUUAUAAAUGCAAAGAAAUGUGUGCAAAUACCCAAAAAUAUGCAAUGAGAGUGACCAACUUUAGCUUUAAACCUGUACUUCCACUUGCUCUAGAGUCAGUCUCUUUCACUGCUACCUUUAGUUUUGUCACAUAGAUGUCUAAACAUUUCAUCCCUCAGUGUUCGCACUGAGCACAGUGUUAAUUCUGGAGCGGUCUGAUGUCCUGGCCUAACCCGUCUGCAGACAUGUCACUGUGCUAACUCAGUCUCAUCUUCUUUUCUUCAAAACAAGAUAUGAAGGCUUCACUUGACAGCAGAGCAAAGCUAUUUCUGCCUUUCUUGACCAUUUAAUCAGUGUGUCGUGAGCAAGAGGAUGAAAAGAAGCCCAAGCAGAUUAAUAGCAGCUAGCGUGCAAUCGCUGUGCAUUAGGAAGCCCAGUCUUCAGCCUGCUUCUUGAGAUUUCCCUUUGGUUUUUCAAACAAGAGAUGAUGAGGAGCUCAUUCUGACAACCUGACAGGAAUGGUUUGUGGAAGAGAGUGAAUUUAGGGCACAGUAAUGGUCCCAGUGUAAGACCAACUGUAUAUUCCAUCAGAGCAACUAAACUUUGGAGGUUUCUAGUAAGGGAAAAGGCAUAUCAAGUCCAUUUCAUGAAUUUUCUUACAAAAUACCAUGUACAGUUUGUAAAAAAUACCCUCCACUUAGCUUAAUUGUAAAGUAAGGCUAACUGAAUGUAUGCUAGUUGUAUCCCUCUUCCUCACAUAUUCCUUCAGGGGGUUGGCAAAUGGGCUCUGGCACUUUUCUGGGUGCAGGUUUGGUCUUAGAAAUGUGCCAGAGCCCAGCGCCAUGCUUUAGUAUGGCUGUGUGUUUGGCUCCAGAGUCAGUGAAGGCAUAGGUAUCUAUCAUCAAAACACACACGUCUCGCAACGUGCCUUAAAAUACUGCAAAUCCACAAUGGUCUGGCCUGAGUCCCCGCACAGGAGGAGAUUGCAUUGUGCAUCUGACCACCUGGAUUGUGAGGAGCAUGCUACAGCCUGCAGGAGGACUUCAUUAGUGCGCAUUCUGAGACGCUUGAAGAAUUCUGACUCUCAACAGACAUGACUUUAUGUAACACACUCACUCAGGAGAGGGAAUUAAGAAAGAUGAAAGCAGGGUUCUGGUUGGUGAUGGCUAACAAUAGCAAAGUGUCUUUAUGUGGAUAAAGAUUUCAGGGCUGUCUUCAUGGACUGGAGAGAAGAACUUACCAGCUCACACUUUUUUCAUGAUUAUUUUAUUUUUCCAACAUGAUUGAAGACACAAGAAACAAAGACAUAAGCAUUUCACUUUCUACAGCAAUAUCGUCCAACGGAAGGAUAUAAUGUGAGGUUAAAAGUCCUCCAUUGAUGAAUACUUUGCAAAAUGCUUAUUAGCAAGAAUAAGAAACGUUUAGUUGAUAGAUAUGAUGCAUUAUUCCAGAGAAAAAAAGAGGAAGAGAAAAA